rnacentral:lncRNA from 1 species
GGGUCAAACCCAACUGAAUCUAAUUCAAUUAGACUUGAUCCAAAAAUAAUUACUCAAUCAAAUUGAGUUAAUUAGUGAUCAAAUCACUAAUUGAACCUCUCAUAAAUAUUGAGUCCAAAUCCGAUGGACAAUCAGGCAUCAGAAUUCAUCGAUAUGUAAUCCUGAUCGAAAAGUCCCAACCAGUGGGACUCUUGACCCCGGUACCCAU